AUUGAACGCUGGCGGCAGGCUUAACACAUGCAAGUCGAGCGGAGAUGAGGUGCUUGCACCUUAUCUUAGCGGCGGACGGGUGAGUAAUGCUUAGGAAUCUGCCUAUUAGUGGGGGACAACAUUCCGAAAGGAAUGCUAAUACCGCAUACGUCCUACGGGAGAAAGCAGGGGAUCUUCGGACCUUGCGCUAAUAGAUGAGCCUAAGUCGGAUUAGCUAGUUGGUGGGGUAAAGGCCUACCAAGGCGACGAUCUGUAGCGGGUCUGAGAGGAUGAUCCGCCACACUGGGACUGAGACCCGGCCCAGACUCCUACGGGAGGCAGCAGUGGGGAAUAUUGGACAAUGGGGGGAACCCCGAUCCAGCCAUGCCGCGUGUGUGAAGAAGGCCUUAUGGUUGUAAAGCACUUUAAGCGAGGAGGAGGCUACUGAGACUAAUACUCUUGGAUAGUGGACGUUACUCGCAGAAUAAGCACCGGCUAACUCUGUGCCAGCAGCCGCCGUAACAC
rnacentral:rRNA from 1 species